rnacentral:sRNA from 1 species
CAACUGCUCUUUUCGAUUUGCCCAUUUCACAUGCGCCGCUCCAUGAAAACGAAAACAAUCACGCACAUCUGUGACAUCCACACGAACACAUGCGAAAGAGCAGUUACUCUGCGCAAAUAUCGUAGCAUAAACUGGUCAUAUAUCUCCAAUCUCCAAUCCCUUAUCACAGCGACCUAACCCACUGAACUCUUGGACUUCAGAUAAGGUGGGCAGUGUGCAGUUAAUAUGGGUUCUUAACAUAUAUGUCUUAAAUGUUAUGUUUAUAAUAGGUUUUAAGAUUUAAGAGCUUUGUUUUCUCUUCAAGCAUUUAAAACACAGAUCGCUUGCAGCGGAAAUAAAAUGAUUUGAUAGCAA